rnacentral:lncRNA from 1 species
AUGGAAUCCUCUUCGCAGGCGCCCUGGUCCUCCGUGUCCGGCGAGCAGGAAGAGCGGGAGCUGAAGGACGGCCUCCUCAGGCUAGCGGCCGUGGCUGUGGAGGGCCCGGGCUGCUGUGCCCAGCGGGGACGCGGAGCGCCGUCCACGGACGCCGGGGGAACGGACGAGCCCGGCCCGGGAGAGAGCAGCACAGCGCGGCCGGACUCCGCCGGGCUCGGCUCUGGGCAGGCAGGCGCGGCUCGCCGACGCCUCCCACGCCUCCCAGAACGGCGGCCCAGCAGCCGCGCGCUCCUCUCCUCUCCUGGCGCGCGCGCGCGCGCCGCCGCCCAGACGCUGCCCGGCCGUUGCCCCCCCCCNNNNNNNNNNNNNNNNNNNNNNNNNCCCCUCGGCGGUGGACUGCGGACAGCGACGGGACACCCUCCUGGAGAACUCCUGCGGCCCCGCCCACACGCUUCGGACCUUCGCGGAGCGGGAAGGUGCGCUGACAGGGACGCAGGGUCCCCGCUACGCUCGCUCUCGGGGGAACUGCAGCCUCCUCCCUCGGCUUUACUUGAAUGUCACACCCGAAACCAUGCAACCUCUACAAGAAACAUAGGCAGUGUGCUCUUUGACAUCAGUCUGAGGCCUAGGUGUGUAGGAGGCUCUGCCAUCCAGGUUUAGGAACUCCGUGGUGUCGGCACAGUCUCGAGAUUGCCUGACCAUGACACACUCCUCAGAACUUAUCCCCACCGUUAAGCAAAGCAUGACUAUACUGCCUUGGAUUCUCCACGGUCCCAGACCCUGCACUGUUUAGAUGACUGCACACGCAGAGGGCACCUCGUCUGAGGCAGAGAGCAGCUGGAAUCACAAAAGCUCUCGACAGAGAGUCAAGGAAAGGCGUGCUCUGCUUACACGACUCUCUACUUUUCCCUGGGUCUGAACCCUUUCAUAGCUAAUCUGCUUUUUUUAACCGAGCAGCUUUGCCAAAAAAAAAAAAAAAAAAAAAAAAAGGUUACCAACAAACACUAAACAAACCAAUAUAAAGAAUACAUAUUAAAUAAGCCUAACCCUACUAUACUACUGGCUUUUAUUUCCCUGGGAUAAUUUGGACAGCAUUAGGUGGUUUUACUAAGAGCAGCCUCGUCGAGGGAGAUUAUUUCUAAUUCCACAGUGCUGCAGAUGCGGUCAGUAGCAACUGCAAGCUGCAAAGGAAACAAAACAAAGUUGGGUGUAAUCCAUUCAAGUUCACACGUUUCACCAGGGACAGCCUCCAAGCCUUUCAUACUUAGGUAUGCAUUUACCCAUUUCUUUAAUCAACCACUACUAACGCCUACUAAAGGCCAGACACUGCUCUAAGUACUCUACGGAUAUGAAAUAUCCUCUCACCUUUACACUCACCUAUGGAGUGUGUAUGAUAACCAUCCCCGUUUUACAGAUCAGAAACUGACACACAGAAUGGCACAGUACUUGCCCAAGUCACACAGCCCGUAGGUGGCAGAGCCAGGACCCAUUUGACAGAGUCUGGCUCCAGAGGCCACGUUCUGAAUCACCACGCUUAGUCUCCAAAAACCUAGAGAAAGCGCCAGCCUCAAUGGAAAAGUUUUGUCUUCCCCACCCUACAGUCCCUACGCGGCGGCCCCAGUCUCCAGGGCAUUCUUUCAGCUCCUCUGACAGGCCAUCCUCCUCCCUUGCCCUGUCCCAACACUCUCCCGCACAAGUCCUCCUUGUCUUUUAGGCCUCUGCUCUCAGCUUCAACAUCACUGCCUAAGUCACAAAGUCUAACAGUAAAAUGCCGUAUUUCUCAACACUCAACACGAAAGUGCCUUUACGUAUCUCCUAGGUAAUUGGUUGCUGCCUGUCUGUCCUUUCCAACCAGGCUGUGAGGUCCAGUACGUCAAACACCCUGUCAGUCUUGCUCACCAAGUGUCCAGGCCACCGAACACGCACCGACCAGAGGAAAGGAAGGACUUGUCCCAAAGUCAACUCUCCAGACUUUCUGUGCAAGGAGGGAACGAACGGAGCACCCUCCAGCCUCACGCUUUCUUUUCCAGACUUUCAAGUGUGGGGCACAUACCUGUGCUCACAACGCUCCCCGGACAGCCCCCACUGCACCCCUAACAGGUAGACUUCUGCACAGUCAAGGGCUUUGGAAAGCACUGGCCUCUGCACACAAAUAUUACGUGGCCCUCGACAGGCCACUUCCCCUGAACCGGCCUGAGCUUCAGGCCCACAACAGGCUUCGUGAAAACCCCAACGGAACGUAGCCUCGAAAAGAGGGAGACCCGCACUCCUCAGAACGCCUCGAGACCAGCGUCCUUAUCGACUUCGCGUCUGUCCUUCCAAGAAGCCGAGGCACGGGUGGCCUUCAGCGCCCGACUCCCGGAUCUCUUGGCCUGUUUUCUCAGAUGAGGGAAAGCCCAGCGUGAAAAACCGUUGAUGAGAUGUCUGCAGAGGCGGACUACGUCUGGUCUUUAAAGCCGGGAACUAUCCCAGUAGAUUCUGAGUCAGUGGGUCCAGAGUAGGCCUUGAGCGUCUCUGUUCUUUUCCAAAGCCCCACAGGCUACACUUCCGUGCCCUUGGAGUUGGGAAGUACAGUCAUGCCCUACAUCGGGACGUUUCAGUCAACAACGGGGGUCCCAUCAGAUUAGUCCCACAUUCUUUGACAUCAGUCUUAGCAGCCUAUUUUCAAGUACCACGUCUGACUGGGCAAGGGAAACAAAAUACAAAAUGAACAAACGGGACUACAUCAAAGUCAAAAAACAUCCUCUGCACCGAAAGGAAACCAUCCACAAAACCAAAACACAACCUAACAACUGGGAGAAGAUUCUUGCAAACCGUAUAUCGGAUAAGGGGUUAAUAUCCAAAACACAGAAAGAACUCAUACAUCUCAACAGCAAAAAAAAUCAACAACCCAAUUGAAAAGGCGGGCAAAAGAUCUGAGCAGUGAUUUCUCCAAAGAAGGUAUACGGAUGGCCAACAGUAUAUGGAAAGGGACUCAACAUCCUUAGCGAUCAGAGAAAUGCAAAUCACAACUACAAGGAGAUGUCACCUUACUCUGGUCAGAAUGGCUCUAAUUAACAAGACAAGAGACAAGUGUCGGAGAGGAUGUGCAGAGAAGGGAACUCUCCUGCACUGCUGGUGGGAGGGCAGACUGGUGCAGCCACUAUGGAAAGCAGGAUGGAGUAUCCUCAGAAAACUAAGAACACAUCUACCAUAUGUAUGAUCUAGCUAGCCCACUGCUGGCUAUUCAUCCAAAGAACUUGAAAACACCAAUGCAGAAAGACACAUGCACCCCUGGGUUCACUGCAGCAUUAUUCACAACAGCCAAAACUUGGAAGCAACCUAGGCUGCCCAUCAAGGGAAGAAUGGAUAAAGAAGAUGUGGUAUGUAUACACAAUGGAAUGCCACUCGGCCCUAAGAAAUGAUGAGAUCCGCCCAUUUGUGACAACUUCGAUGGACCUUGAGGGUAUUAUGUGAAGUGAAAUAAAUCAGAGGGACAAAGUCA